rnacentral:rRNA from 1 species
UACGGAGGAUGCGAGCGUUAUCCGGAUUUAUUGGGUUUAAAGGGUGCGUAGGUGGUGAUUUAAGUCAGCGGUGAAAGUUUGUGGCUCAACCAUAAAAUUGCCGUUGAAACUGGGUUACUUGAGUGUGUUUGAGGUAGGCGGAAUGCGUGGUGUAGCGGUGAAAUGCAUAGAUAUCACGCAGAACUCCGAUUGCGAAGGCAGCUUACUAAACCAUAACUGACACUGAAGCACGAAAGCGUGGGUAGCAA